CUUAUUGAAGAUUCAUUAAUACCUCUAUUAAAAAAGUUAGAUCUAUAUUUUAGAAAUAAGUUUCGACAUAUUAGUAGAAAAUGCUUACAACAUUUUUUAACAUGAUACUAUCUUCCAUCACUUUGACGGAAGCCUGCGAUGUCUAUGAGUGGUCUCCAAAUGGAAGGCCUCUGCCCACCUACUCAACAGGAAUGAUCUAUGAACUAAUCAAAGACCAUCAACCACCUGUCCCUUGUAUGGUCUUCCCGCGGUAUUCCUCGCCACAAUUUCGUCACUCGGCUCACUGUCCUCGACAGAUGCCCUACAAAAGAUCAAAUGUUGAGAUGGGGGAUCCAAAUUGAUCCAACCUGUAUAUUGUGCAAUGCUACAUCAGAAACUCGAGAUCACCUGUACUAUGAAUGUCCCUACUCUUGGAGCUUCUGGAAAGAGCUAUCUCGCAAGGCCCAAUGGAACCCCUCUCGGAACUGGUCUACAGAAUUUGGCUGCAUGCAAGCGAUUCGUUCGCCGAAACAUGAACGACUUCUGGUGCUAUUGGCUUGGCAAGCCUCAAUCUAUCUCCUAUGGACAAAGCGAAAUGACAGACACCACCGACAGCAAUACAGAUCAGUCUCAUCCUUAGCAAAGCAAGCGGACCUCCUCAUCAGGAAUAGAAUCUCGGGCAUCAGGGAGAUAAAUCUCUCCCUCUCAAAGAUGCUCCAACGAUGGUUCCUAAACUAGAGAUCGCGUGAAGUUCGUCUCCCCCUGACUUUUCAUAUCUCCUCUCAUUGGUUCAGUUGUAUUUCCACUAGGGCUAGG
rnacentral:lncRNA from 1 species